rnacentral:rRNA from 1 species
GGGUCAGUAGGUUGGUCGUGCCACCGGUACGUACUGGUCUCACUGAUUCCUCCUUCCUGAAGAACCGUAAUGCCAUUAAUUUGGUGUUGCGGGGAAACAGGACUGUUACUUUGAGAAAAUUAGAGUGUUUAAAGCAAGCUAACGCUUGAAUACAUUAGCAUGGAAUAAUGAAAUAGGACGAUCGAUCCUAUUUUGUUGGUUUCUAGGAUUGACAUA